AAGACUAUAGACCUGCGGAGUACCUGCGGAAGGAUCAUUAUCGAAUCCUUAAGGAUGUUGCUGGUCUCUCGGGACAUGUGCACUCCGCCUUUUCUAUACACCUGUGAACUUAUUGUAGGUGGCAUUACUUGCCACCUAUGUUUUUAUAACACACAUGUAUAUUGAAUGUCUAAAUAUGGCCUUUAUUGGUCAGUAACUUAAUACAACUUUUAACAAUGGAUCUCUAGAUCGGAAGAGCAC
rnacentral:misc_RNA from 1 species